AUUUGCCGCGAGCAGUUUGUCGCUCUCCACAGGGAACCCAUCCUCGAGGAACUUCAAAACCAUUUCGAGAAGAAUUACGCCAAUUUGAAGCUUAAUCGUCCGUUGAAAUCGAAAAAUUCGAAAGUGGAAAGAACGCGCGUAUCAUUGGAUGGCAGACCAGAACUUGGUGAUUUUGACAUCAACGAAGUCCUGCACUCCACUUACUUUUUCUGUUGAUCUGCAAAAGAAUCGAAGGUCUUGAUAAGUAUGACAAAAGAGUCAGUUCGCGUUAGGAAAGGAUCAGUUUGGCGUAGGUUUAUUUGAAAUUAAUCGACACUUAUGGAUGUCAGCUAACGCAUCUGGAAAAGAAAGGCACCGUCCUUAGAGCUUGACGAAAUUUCUACGUGAAGAAACAUUAUCCCUUGGUAUGCUGCAUCUUAUUUCUUUUAGUUCUUGGGGAACAGUAAAUUAACGAUAUCACCAUGAAAACCGCGAUUUUACAGUUCCUCAAACAGUCGCCAAGGCAACUAAACUAAAAAAAGACGAAAAAUUGUAAAUUUUAAUUCAUUGCAAUAAAAUGAAGAUUUUAACUA